CACUUGUGAACUGGACGUGGUUUUAUACACAAAAUUUAAAAAGGAAAAUGCGUUCUCCACUGCGAUCGGCGAUGCUUGCUUUGCUGGCACUAUCUCUUGUAACGAACCAGGUUCAUAGUAGAAAACUGACUCUGCCGCUUGGUUCCGGUUUUAUCAUUUCAAAAAUGAUUCAGAGUACGCCAGAAUUUCGUCGAGGAACAGAAGCCGGCGAGACUUUCAAUAUUCUGAAGUGGUGUUGGUUCGGAUACAGAGCGGCAAAGUUCCUUUCCUAAGUCUUUUCUCUGCCUGUGAACGUUUAAUGCCUGUCGUGGACACUUUCGCCUUCAGAUGCCGUACACAAUUCUGUAUUUAUUGAAAGUUACCACGCUUGCCGUAUUGUUUUGUUGUUCGCCCAUAAAAGCAAA